CUGGCGGCAGGCCUAACACAUGCAAGUCGAGCGGUUGAGGGAAGCUUGCUUCCUGAUUCAGCGGCGGACGGGUGAGUAAUGCCUAGGAAUCUGCCUGGUAGUGGGGGACAACGUUUCGAAAGGAACGCUAAUACCGCAUACGUCCUACGGGAGAAAGCAGGGGACCUUCGGGCCUUGCGCUAUCAGAUGAGCCUAGGUCGGAUUANCUAGUUGGUGAGGUAAUGGCUCACCAAGGCGACGAUCCGUAACUGGUCUGAGAGGAUGAUCAGUCACACUGGAACUGAGACACGGUCCANACUCCUACGGGAGGCAGCAGUGGGGAAUAUUGGACAAUGGGCGAAAGCCUGAUCCAGCCAUGCCU
rnacentral:rRNA from 1 species